ACUCGAGGCUCACUGUACAGCUGUCGCUUGCCAGGCAGCCCGAGAGAGUUCUGGCGAGGGCUGCGGGAAGGAAAGGGGGCGGCGUCCUUCACAGGGAGGGUGCAGCUGACCUCCCUCCCCUUGUGCAGACUGGAAAAGAAUGGCCCAGAUCCUCUGGACUCCUCAGAUGAGCGGAUUCAGAGAGAAGCUUUUGAGAGCGUGCUGGCGGAGACAUUUUUCACAAAAGAGCCCUUGCGGUGCUGGUGUCCGUGGCGUGCCUGGGAAGGCCCACCAACGCUGGCCGGCCUCCAAGCACCCGGGCCUCUGCUCAUGUACAGCUCCUGAACUGCCCUGCCUCUGAGUUACUGUGGAAAAUGAGCUUAUAUAUGAAGAAGUCAGCGAGUGGACAAAGCCAGGCGCAAUGGAUAGCAAAGAUGUGGAAGUCUCCUCGAUUCAAGUUACAAGAAAACCGCAGCAUGGAGUCUGCUCUCAGCUGUUGGGGAAUUACCGAUGCCUUUGACUAAGUCAAGACUGACUUUUCCAGAAUAUCACCCAAGAGAUAGAGCCGUCCCUGUCCAAGUUUGUGCGCUAGCCCUUCAUGGAGGUCAGAGAGGAAGAAACAAAGGCAGCUGUGGCCUCGGCGGUCACAGUGUCAGAACGCACAAGCCCCAUAAAGAGGUUUCACGCAGGCCACCCAUCCCUUUUCAUUCUCCAGCAGAACAGGACAGAGAGCGUUCUGUUCUGCGGAAGGUCUUCCACUCUACAAGGCAAUCCCUCCAGCUGCUUUGCUGUAUUGUGCUGUCUCCUGUCACACUAUGAAUGCAGUGACCUCAGCCAGCAACAGGGAGAACCCCCCUGCCUCCCGAACAAAGGACCUCACGUGAAAUCCUGAGCUCAGAGCUUACAGAUAUGUGUGCGCUUUCACUUUACAUCGGCCGUGACUUCCAAACAACUUCAGGAAACUUUAGGAUCUCUGAGGUAUACUGGAGAUGACAGCAGCGUAGAAUGUUCAUUUGGAUUUAGAACAGAAAUGCUUAUUUUAUAUUUGGCUGCUCCCAAACUGUCCCCAGACUUCCUCUCCAGUGGUUACCCUCCACUGCCCUGGAUGUCCCACGUUUACACUCCACACUCACACCUCCACCUUAACAAAGUCCUCCACUGGGUCAAACCAUACAUCGCUUCGUCUCUGUAGUGAUGACUUCCUGUCCUCUGCUCUGUGGAUAAAGACCCCAGAUAAAGAUGCCUGUGUUGCUCAACUCUUGUAAAUACUCUUGAGACAUUUUGAAAGCAGAAGGAAAGGAGACAGACGGGGAAAAUAAAAGGGAUGGUCUGCUUGUGCGGAAACGUUUUGAGAAUGCCCUUCCCUAAGAGAGAACAGUAAAAGUGAGCAAUACUUCCUGAGCUGUGGGUUCAUAUGGCUGGACUGUGCUGUUUCUCACGGGAGAAGUUCUCGUCUCCCCUGCGUGUACAUCCCUGUUUGCCAGCCUGGCCUUCGGUGUGGUGAUAUCAUGGUGCACUCCCAGGAGGGAAGUGCUUGGUCAAGACUUCUGCUUGGGUUCGACUAUCAGUUCUGGUUUCCUUUAAGGCACAGGAUCUUCCCUUUAAGGCACAAACACCCCCUUGACACAAAGUAAGGGACAAGGGAACUUUAAACCAUUUGGAAACCCAAGCACAAUAGGCUGUAGGUUGUAAAAAGAAAUUACAAAGGUAAUUUUAUCCAGAAGAGGGAGCAGUUUAACUUCUGCAGGGUAAGAUUCAGAUUCACUUUUGUAACUGAACAGGGAAUUUUCUAAAUAUUUUGAAAAUGCCGAAACAUUUCCUGUUGGCAUUUCACAGAAACGUUCAAAGUUCCCUAA
rnacentral:lncRNA from 1 species